UGGCGCCACCAGCAAGAGCAGAAGCAAUACCGCCAGCAAUAGCACCAAACAUAAAUCACCUCACUUAAGUGGCUGGAGACAAAUAAUCUCUUUAAUAACCUGAUUCAGCGAAACCAAUCCGCGGCAUUUAGAAGCGGUAAAGUUCGACCAAACCAUGAAACCAACAUAAACAUUAUUGCCCGGCGGACGGGGAAGGACGUCAAUAGUCAC
rnacentral:rRNA from 1 species